AUGCCAAAACAUGUCCAGACAGCUUAUCAAACCUACUCUAUUAGAAAUAUAACUUCUACUUGUCCUGCACCAUUGAAUUCAAGCUCUGUCCAACCUUCAUCAUCGUUGCAUCUUCAGCAUUCUUCUCUCGGCAAUAACCACAUCAACAACAUCAGUCCCACCGUGUCAUCGCCUUCAUCAUCUCUGUACCAAUCUUUAAUCAUCUUCUGCAGCUAG